AGUCCUUGACAUAUAAGCGACGCUAUUUGUCUGUUAUUGGAUAAUAGUAGAGGCUUAUAU
rnacentral:rRNA from 1 species